rnacentral:rRNA from 1 species
AUGGCCGAAUCCGCUGUGAGCGCCGUUCUAGGGAACUUGGGCAAUCUUGCUGUUCGGAAGACUAGUUUCUUAUGUGGAGUCACCCAUGAAGUGACCUUCCUGAAAGAUGAGUUGAUGCGGCUGCAGGGCUAUCUCAAAGACGCCGACAGCAAAAGGAGAUCUGGAAAUGCAAGUGUUGCUAUCUUUAUGAGCCAAAUUAGAGAUGCUGCAUAUGAGGCCGAGAAUGUUAUCGAAGCUGCAGAAUACAUGAAGAAGAGAAGCAGGAUCAAGAAGGGCUUCAUGGGUGCAAUUUCAAGGUAUGCUCAUUUACCGAGUGACUUGACUACCCUUCAUAAAGUUGGUGUUGAAAUUCGGCGUGUAAGAAGGAAGCUCAGUGAGAUAUCUCAGAGCGCAGACCAUUUGAAAAUCGACUUUAGUAGUCAUGUUGCAGAUGAGUAUCUAGAUGAUUAUGGCCUUAUGCACCAAAAUUGCAAGGAUGACGUUGUCAUGGUUGGUUUUGAGAAUGAGUACAACGAAAUAGUGGAUAAAUUAGUUCAAGCAGAAAAUAUGCUUAGUGUUGUUUCCAUAAUUGCCAUGGGUGGGGCAGGAAAAACAACACUUGCUAGAAAAUUAUACACUUCAUCCGAAGUCAAACAACACUUUGGGGCACUUAUUUGGGUGACUAUAUCCCAAAAAUUUAAGGUUGUUGAUUUACUAAAGGAAAUUGUGAAGCAAAUAUCAACCGGGGAUCAGUCUAGAAAAAUUGAUGACAUGAAUGAGUGUGAGUUGGGAAAGAAGAUCCAUGAUAUCCUCAUGCAAAAAAGAUACUUGGUAGUUCUUGAUGAUGUGUGGGAAACAGAUACAUGGGAGCAACUGAAUAGAACAAUUAAAGCCUUUCCAGAUGCAGCUAACUGUAGUAGAGUACUGUUGACAACACGAAAGGAAGAUGUUGCAAAUCAUGUUGAAAUGCCAACCCAUGUCCAUGCUUUGAAGUGUUUAGAUGAAGAGAAAAGUUGGUUACUUUUUAGUACCAAAGCUUUACCAUCAUACAAAAGACCAGACAUCCGUGACCUGGAUAUGUUUGAAAAACUAGGGGGGAAGCUUGCAAGGAAAUGUAAUGGAUUACCACUUGCACUUGCAGUUUUAGGGGGUUAUCUAUCAAAGAAUCUCAACACACAAGCAUGGUCUGAUGUAUUAUCGUGUUGGCCAUCAACCAAAGACACAAAGAUGAUGCGAAGCAUAAUAGCUCGGAGUUACAAGGACCUGCCAAAUCACUAUUUAAGAUCUUGUAUGCUAUAUAUUUCUGCUUUUCCUGAGGAUAUGAUAAUAUCUGUGUCAGUUCUUAUUAAUUUAUGGGUAGCAGAAGGUUUCAUUCCAGACACACCUAAGUGUACACUAGAAGAAACAGCUCGUAAGUAUGUAACUGAGUUGGCUCAAAGAAGCUUGGUGCAAGUUGUUAAAACAAGCGGUGUAUAUGGAUGGAUUCUAAAAAUAAGGAUUCAUGACAUCAUACGUGACUGGUGCAUAGAAGAAGCAACACAAGAUGGUUUCCUUGAUGUCACUGAUGAAACUACUAGAGGAAAAGUUGGUGCAUUAUCAUGUCAUACCCUGAUAUCCUAUCGUUCUUCUUUCCAAAACUCAAGUGAGCACAUUUUGCACGCAUCGCCUAAUCUCCGAGCUUUGCUUGCUUUUGGACUUUCAUCCGUAUCUUUUCCUGAGCUAAGAUUCCUAAGAGUCAUUCAUGUAGAGGACUCAAGCCUACAGGAUUUUUCCAAUGUAAUUGGUAGGUGCAUUCACUUACGACACCUCUGGUUGAGAAGAUGUAAAAAUGUGAUGAUCCCUUCUUCUAUCGGGAGACUCCUUUACUUGCAAAUUAUAGAUCUGCCAAAGACCUAUCUGCUACAGUCAGAAAUAUCAAGCUCCCUCUGGGAUAUAUCUAUGUUAAGGUAUGUAGAUAUUCCAAACAUUUCUCUGCCAAGGAGUGUGCAAAUUCAACAAAACCUACGGGAGCUUCACAUGCGUGCUGCUGAAUGUGAACAUGGAAAAGAUCCGAUGCCGAUCCUGGAGAUGCUUCCUUGUCUGGUAGUACUGGAUUUGGCUUUCUAUAAUCUCGAAACCAUGUCCUUCAGUGCCCAAGGGUUCCCUCGUUUGCAAGAGUUAAUAUUUCGAAAUUGUUCCAUUAAGUGGAGGAUGGAGAUCGGGACAAUGCCAAAGCUAUUCUUCCUGUCAUUUACACGGUGCAGGAUGGAUGAUGAAAUCCCUGAUGGAUUACUGUACCUUCCAUCCCUCAGGUUCAUAUCACUGCGACUGCGUAAUGUGGACAAAGAUUAUUUGAAUGAUAGCACACUGGAAGGAUUGAAGCAGAAAGGAUGCAAGGUCACAGAAAGUCAUAUGUAA